GGCUGAUCCGAGUGCAGUGGUGUUUAUUACUAAUUGAUCACAACCAGUUACAGAUUUCUUUGUUCUUCUCCACUCCCACUGCUUCACUUGACUAGCCUUAA
ensembl:misc_RNA Y_RNA Y RNA